UAAACAUGGAGGAUCUGGAAUAAGGUCACUCAAGGAGACAGCGUGUGUCCAAGAAGUGAAUGAAAUCCAGUCCUCCAGCCUGCGGCUCAGAUCCAUUCCCUAGACUCCCAUCCAGCCCCUCACUCCCUCGGGAUUCGAUGAGCUUCUGACUGGUGCAGCAUCAGCAUUGCCAAGAAGAAUAAGGCUUAGUCCCUGUCCUCAAGGAGUGUCCAGUGUAGUAGGAAAGGCAGCAACACCUAUCAAUCAUGUAUGUCUAGGAGAAGGUGACCUGAAUGAAGAUAAAAAAUAACCCAGGAGGAAUAGUUGAGAUACUGGAGAAGAGAAAUCCUGUUAGAGGAGAGUCUGGCAAUCUUCAACCGUUGCAGGAUUAUCAGGAAUGGCCACCAUGGUGUAGAAAUAAAAACCAGCAUCUAGAAGUUGGAAGAGCCUUAUUUUCAAGGACUUGGAAAGCUGUGUGGAGCUUCUGCAUGGCGCCGGUUGCUUAUGGUCAUGACUGUAGCUGCUGGCAUUGCUCCAGCAUGAACUCUGAUUCCAUUGCGAAGGGGAAGGGAUCCUUCUUAACAGCCCCUAGAGUGGAUCUGACAAGCUAUGGUGCUGCCUGUAAACCAAAACAGACACAAUUCAUUCGUCCAGAAAAUAUUUGUGGGGCAUCUUCCUUGUGCCAGGCCCCCUCAUAGAGCCUGCAGCCUGUUCAUUUUGAGGUACAAGGAGAACUGCCCCAAAGUGCCAAGGAAUCAGGAUGGUUUUAAUGUUUUCUCCAGAAGACAGGGAAAGGGCUAGAUGGCUUGAGGCGGUCCCAUCCAGCGCUAGGAGUCAUGACCUCUUAAGUUCACCCCAACAAAACCUGCCCGUGCACUUUUGCACUGGUUCCAUAUUGGCUGAGGAAGGUUGGGCUAGAUCCGUAGGAUCUCCAAGCAGAAAGGCUUCCCCAUUCCAGAUGCUGGAAAGAGAGCCAGGCCAGGGAA